UUGUUCCACGAACGACUACAAGACCUAACUUUCUAAUAGCUCCAGUAAGUUUACCAUCCUCAGGAUUGCGAAGCUGUUCCUCUACAUCGUCAAGUACAAGGUUCAUCAACUGAUCGAAUCCUUUUAGAAUACCGGUAAUUUGUCGGCCCCCCGUAAACGUGGCUUGAAUUCGUUGAUCUUGAUAUCUAGAAAGAUCAAGGAUAGAUUCUUUUCUUGGUCUUUCACUAUUUAAGAAAGUUAGCAAAACUCAUGAUGCUGCUCGUUCCUGCUAGACUUACGUCGGUUGACUAGAGUUACCUGGGCCAGGGCGUUUUUGAAGACUGGACAUUCUUUGUAUCUAGAAUAACCAGGUAAAUUAUCAGCUAUUGCCCAGAAAAGAAUAAAGUACAGGUUCAACUUGACGAUUCUCCUUUUUACGAUGAUUGUAACGUGAUCGAACGUAUCCUUAUAUGGUUCAAUUUGAAUGACUUAAGACAUAGCAGUAAAUGGAAUAUAAAACACGCUACAGAAAGGAAUGUAAAAUAAACUUGCUCAGUCUGAAAGGAAAUAAUUUCACCGCUUUACUUUUCCAAUUUUGUUAGAAACGUUGAGAAAUUCCAUGCUUGGGGUCAUAAUGCUUGACAUAAAG